rnacentral:rRNA from 1 species
AACGAACGCUGGCGACAUGCCUAACACAUGCAAGUCGAACGAGAUCUUCGGGUCUAGUGGCGCACGGGUGCGUAACGCGUGGGAAUCUGCCCUUUGGUUCGGAAUAACAGUUGGAAACGACUGCUAAUACCGGAUGAUGACGAAAGUCCAAAGAUUUAUCGCCAGAGGAUGAGCCCGCGUAGGAUUAGCUAGUUGGUGUGGUAAAGGCGCACCAAGGCGACGAUCCUUAGCUGGUCUGAGAGGAUGAUCAGCCACACUGGGACUGAGACACGGCCCAGACUCCGACGGGAGGAAGCAGUGGGGAAUAUUGGACAAGGGGCGAAGGCCUGAUCCAGCAAUGCCGCGGGAGUGAUAAAGGCCUUAGGGUUGAAAAGCUCUUUUCCCCGGGAUGAUAAUGACAGUCCCGGAAGAACAAGCUCCGGCUAACCCCGUGCCAGCCGCCGCGGUAA